rnacentral:lncRNA from 1 species
GCUUUCGGGCUCGGCGCAGUCUGCGGGCGGGAGGGCGCCGGCGAGGUGGCGAGGGCGGCUGGCGCGGGGGCGCGGGAGCCCCGGCUAAGCCCGGGGACGGGAGGGCGCCCCCUCCCAGCGCCCGAACCCAGGCAACUUCCCGCCGCCCGGGCAGGAGUUUCUCCGUAGCCCACGGACAUCCGGGAGGCUUGUGGAGGGCAGGCGGGUAACCCCCACUCCCACCCCACCUUUAUCCAGGGGCAGCCAGAGGAGCCAGCAGGUCGGGACUCGCUGAGGGGGCUCCACGCGGGGCCUCCCACGCACAGGGACAGCGUCUGCUAUGUUGUCCAGGCUGGUCUCAAAUUCCUUGCCUCAAGCGAUCCAACUGCCUCAGCCUCCCGAGUCACUGGGAUUACAGGCAUGAAGACAUUGUUUUCAAGGGAUCACUCUGCUUUGUGGAGACUAGACUGUGAGGAGCAAGCCUCGAAAGGGGAGAGCUGUUUCGAGGUAAGAGAUGGUGGCUGGUGGAGGGGGUGAGAAGCAGGUCAGAGUCUUUUCAAAGACAUAACAAUGUUUGCUGAUGGCGAGGUAAAGUGACAGGAAGGAGCCAGAGAGGACUCUGAGGUUUUUGCCCUAAAGCUGGAAAUAGGACUUUCAUUUCCUGAUGUAGGAACAGGUGAGAUCCCACAGGGAAAGCCCACAGCACUGUGCUUCAAGUGAGCACUGGAUACACGGAAGUGCCGGACAUGCAGAAUCCACGGAGGAGAAGCCUUGGAAGAGGAGGCCCCCGGGGAUGCCAAGAAGAGAGCACCCUCAGUGGGGGCAGGCCCCUGUGUUCUCCACUGCAGCCUGCUCCACAGCCACGCCCUCCCAUCCAUGGCUACACACUCACAUUCUGGGCCUCUUCCCUGGACCAGAUUGCACAGCAGGGCCGCUCUCUCCAGUGCCUCCAGCUGGCCCCUGCUGACAAGUCCGUGUUGUGUCAUGUUGGGAGUCUGGGCAAGGCACGAGGGCCCCUCUCUAGCAGGUCCCGAUGGCUCCUCCACACCUUCAGGAAAAGCAAGAGAUAAACCAUUGCAUGCUGAGCUCUGCAGGGAACUGGAGGCGGACACCAUCCAUUCUGCAAACCUGCAAUGGUGACACUUCUGGAAUCUCCUUGCCUCUUCCAGGGCUGCAGCCUCUAAGGCAGGGCCCAAAGCAGGAUGGAGAUAAAGAUGCCCAGAAGAAACCAAAGCCUUCUUGGGGGAAACUGUAAGAAGUCAGGAGGGAAUUCUUUAUUAGAAAUUGAAGAUCCCGCUGGGCGUGGUGGCUCAUGCCUGUAAUCCCAGCACUUUGGGAGGCCGAGGUGGACAGAUCACCUGAGGUAGAAGUUCGAGACCAGCCUGGCCAACAUAGCAAAACCCCAUCUCUACUAAAAAUACAAAAAUUAGCCGGGCGUGAUGGCACGCACCUGUAAUCCCAGCUACUCAGGAAGCUAAGGCAGGAGAAUCACUUGAACUUGGGAGGUGGAGGUUGUAGUGAGCCAAGAUGGCGCCAUUGCACUCCAGCCUAGGCAACAAGAGCGAGACUCCAUCUCAAAAAAAAAAAAGAAAAAGAAAAGAAAAGAAAAAAAAAGAAAGAAAGAAGUUGAAGAUCAAAGCUGGAGACCAGGACUCUUGACAAAUCUGACCAGAUUUGAAACACACCUAAGAAAUGUAAGACUCAAUUAAUUCUACAUGAGCCUAAGAAUUAAACCAAAUAAAGAAUGACAACACAAGUAAUGAGGAUACUGGCUUAUGCCUAGGUGUUUGUAUUUCUUUAGGUCUAACUCCAACUGUAUAUCCUAUUUUAAAUUAAUAUUUGUUAUUCUUUGUUUUUUGUUAUUUUAAUAAAAAGCUCUAUUUAAAUGUAUUUAAAUAACAUUAGCCAGAUGUGGUGGCUCAUGCCUGUAAUCCCAGCACUUUGGGAGGCUGAGGCAGGUGGAUUGCUUGAGCUCAGGAGUUUGAGGACAGCCUGGCCAACAUGAUGGAACCACGUCUCUACAAAAAUACAAAAAUUAGCCAGGCAUGGUGGCACACACCUGUAGUCUCAGCUACUUGGGAGGCUGAGGUGGGAAGACUGCUUGAGCCUGGGAGGUUCAGGCUACCAUGAGCCUUGAUCACACCACUGCUCUCAAGCCAAGGCAACAGAGUGAGACCCCAUCUCAAAACAAAACAAAAAGAGAACACUAAUGCCGUUAGAAAAGAAUGCUUUCAUUACUAACACCACUGGGGAGCCAAGCAAUUCAAACCCGCCUGACUCCAUGUGGCAGCUUAUUUCAAGUACAGGCAAGGAGACUCAAAGGAAAUAAACAGUGUGUGGGGGUUCUAGCGAUGCAAACCUAUAAGGUUCUUGUAACUAUCAUAAUGCUUGAUCAAUACUUAUUAACAAACCACAUUCUAGGAGGAACAAGUUUUAAAAGCCUGAAAAUUGGACAGCCAACGUCCU